GUAUCAUCAUGUAUACAAAUCCAACCUACUGUGACCUUCCCCCCUUUUUCUUUUCACAGUUUAUCCUGCUCUGGGUUUGUGAGGUGGAACCUACCCCAGCAUGUGAAACUUUGGGUGACGGAUUAUGUAAACCCUGGAUGGUCACCAGUCAACCAAAAAUCAGUGGUGGGAAGUCAUGAAGUACUGGACACUGAAAAACAAUUUAUGGCAAUGUUUGGUUGCACAUGAUUCAAAUGAGACAAUCCUGAACAAGAAUGUGCGGCUUGUACAGCGUGCGUGUGAUUUGAACCCCGGUCCUCAGAAGUGUGAGGCCAACGCUCUACAGCUUCACGACUGUGCCUUGCGGGGAGUGCUGGAGUCUAUCCCAGCUGUCAAAAGGUUUUUUGUAAUGUGGGAGGAAACCGGAGUACCUGGAGAAAAUCCACGCAGCCACGGGGAGAACAUGCUAGCUCCAUACAGGCGGGGCCGGGAUCGAACCCGCAUCCUCAGAACUGUGAAGUCAACGCUUUACCAGCUGAUCACCGUGCUGCCGUAAUUUCAAACCAUUUACGUGAAUUUACAACUUAACUUAAGAGCUCUCAUGUCACACUAAUGUGGUACCGCGCAUUGGUUGAGAAUCACUCCCACUUGUGUUGUGAUAUUUGAUAUGACACUACUAGUCCCAUCUUUCUUUUAAAGAAAAAAAAGAACACU